CAGCCAUAAGCUGAAGAAGGAGAUUACCUUCUCUAGAAACCUGCUCAGCCAGCUCCUGAUGGAGAACACAUGCAGGAAGAAGUUGGUCCCACGGAAGCAGGGGAGCAAGGAGGGACAUCUUGAGUGUGCACUGAACCAGAAAUAUUUGGUUGACUUCAACAAGAAAGAUAAAGACCAGCAACGUCCAGACCCAGCAUCAUCAGGUCUCAGAAAGUGCAAGAGAGCUGGAAUUGGACACACCCCAGUAAGAGAGCUUCCUGAAGAAUAAGUUGCUUUCUCAGGAGUCCCUGAUGACAAACAUCCUGAAUGAAAACAGCACUUGAGAGACAACUUGGGGGACCUCCUUUCAUUAUGUGUGCAAGAGGAGAAACAGCAAUACAUCUGUGCUUCUAAAUGUUCUUUAAGAAUGUGCUGUUUAGAAAUAUUUUUG
ensembl:lncRNA